GCCAGGUGCAGUGGUGUGUGCCAGUAAUCCCAGCAACUCGGGAGGCUGAGGCAGGAGGAUCACAAGUUCAAGGCAGCCUCGCCAACUUAGUGAGGCCCUAAGUAACUUAGCAAGACCCUGUCUCAA
rnacentral:sRNA from 1 species